rnacentral:rRNA from 1 species
UACGUAGGGGGCAAGCGUUGUCCGGAUUUAUUGGGCGUAAAGAGCGUGUAGGCGGCUUUACAGGUCCGUUGUGAAAACUCGAGGCUCAACCUCGAGACGCCGGUGGAAACCGUAAAGCUAGAGUCCGGAAGAGGAGAGUGGAAUUCCUGGUGUAGCGGUGAAAUGCGCAGAUAUCAGGAGGAACACCGGUGGCGAAGGCGGGUCUCUGGGCAGUGAACUGACGCUGAGGAGCGAAAGCGUGGGGAGCGAACAGG